rnacentral:rRNA from 1 species
GACGAACCGUGCGAACGUUGUUCGGAAUCACUGGGCUUAAAGGGUGCGUAGGCGGUUCUUUAAGUCAGGGGUGAAAUCCCGGAGCUCAACUCCAGAACUGCCUUUGAUACUGAGGAUCUUGAGUUCGGGAGAGGUGAGUGGAACUGCGAGUGUAGAGGUGAAAUUCGUAGAUAUUCGCAAGAACACCAGUGGCGAAGGCGGCUCACUGGCCCGAUACUGACGCUGAGGCACGAAAGCGUGGGGAGCAAACAGG